CUAGAAGAGACUUCCCUUCUCCCGGAGCUGAGAGUUUGGGCAGAGGUGAGGCGGGGUGGGAAUCCUUCUGGAGACAGCUAAUUUAGCCCAUUCUCAUCCUCGGGGCAAGGGGUAGGGCAGGCCAGAUGGCAACAAGGGGGUAUCUUAAGGACACAUACCUUUGGGGCGGGCUGGGGUGGACGUGGAGGGGCUGGACCAGCCGGCCUGGCCGAGGAUGGGUGUGAGGAAUCCAGGAAAUGUUAACUCUUCGGCCUCCAGAGAGAGCACCCUUCUCGUUCUUGCCUUUCCUCCCGGAGCUCUCCCUGGAGGAGGGAAAAGGUUGGUUUCUCUGUCUUGCAUCCCUGAGUUCUUUACGGGGGCAGCUCUCACUCCCUAGCUGGCCUAAGAGGGUGGGAGUGGGGAGGAAGAAGGGAGAGAUAAAAGGGAGGGGGGUGGAGGGAAGGGGGAAUGGGGAGAAGGGGUCGAGGAAAAGGGGAAGAGGAGUUGGAGAGACUGGGAAGGGGGUGAAGGGAAAAGGGAAUGGGGAGAGGGGGUGGAGGGGGCAGAGGGAAAGGGGGUGAGGAGAUGGGGAGACAGGGAAGGGAGAGAAGGGAAAGGGGAAUGGAGAGAGGGGGUUGAGGGGGAAGAAGAAAAGGGGGAGAGGAGAUGGGAGACAGGGAAGGGGGACAAGGAAAAGGGGAAUGGGGAGAGAGGGUCGAGGGGGAAGAGGGAAAGGGGGAGAGGAGAUGGGGAGACAGGGAAGCGGGAGAAGGGGAAUGGAGAGAAGGGGUCGAGGGGCAGAGGGAAAGGGGGCGAGCAGAUGGGGAGAAGGGAAAGGGGAACGGGGGAAGGGGUGGAGGGGGCAGAGGGAAAGGGAGAGAAGAGAUGGAGGGACAGGGAAGGGAGAUAAGGGAAAGGGGAAUGGGGAGAAGGGGUCGAGGGAAAGGGGGAGAGGAGAUGGGGAGACAGGGAAGGUGACGGGGGUGGAGGGUGCAGAGGGAAAGGGGGAGAGGAGAUUGGGGAGACAGGGAAGGGGACGGGGGUGUAAGGGGCAGAGGGAAAGGGGGAGAGGAGAUUGGGGAGACAGGGAAGGGGAGGGGGGAGGGCUGUGGGGAGAGAGGGGAAGGGGACAAGGGGGUGCAGGGGAGGGAGGAGAGGGGGAGGACAGUGGGGGGGAAGGGGAGGAAUGUGGGGGCUGGAGGAGAGGGGGCGGAGUGCCAGCCGGAGUGACGCAGCUGCUGGGGGGGCUGGGGAGGGGGUGGUCCGGUCUGGGAGACACAGACACACACACACAGACACACACAGGGACAGAGAGAGAGAGAGAGGGAGAGGGAGAGAGAGAGAGAGCCAGAGUCCGCAGCCCCACGCACCAAACGGCGCUGGUUGCCGCAGGUCCUCACCGGGAGCCCCACAGUGCGGGGCUGGAGGAGGGAAGGAGCCGCCCCGCACCCCGGGGACAAAGCACCCCUCAAGGCUCCUGCAGGCCGGCCACCUCUAGCCCGGAGCCCGGGAGCCGAGGGAGAUGGAAGGAUUGGGGGCAGAGGGGAGACAGAGAGAUGGAGGGAUUGUGGGCAGAGGGGAGAGAGAGA
rnacentral:lncRNA from 1 species